AGAGCGAACGCUGGCGGCAGGCCUAACACAUGCAAGUCGAGCGCCGUAGCAAUACGGAGCGGCAGACGGGAGAGUAACACGUGGGAACGUACCCUUUGGUUCGGAACAACCCAGGGAAACUUGGGCUAAUACCGAAUAAGCCCUUACGGGGAAAGAUUUAUCGCCGAAGGAUCGGCCCGCGUCUGAUUAGCUAGUUGGUGGGUAACGGCCCACCAAGGCGACGAUCAGUAGCUGGUCUGAGAGGAUGAUCAGCCUCAUUGGGACUGAGACACGGCCCAAACUCCUACGGGAGGCAGCAGUGGGGAAUAUUGGACAAUGGCGCAAGCCUGAUCCAGCCAUGUCGCGUGGGUGAUGAAGGCCCUAGGGUUGUAAAGCCCUUUCGGCGGGGAAGAUAAUGACGGUACCGCAGAAGAAGCCCGGCUAACUUCGUGCCAGCAGCCGC
rnacentral:rRNA from 1 species